GAUGAACGCUAGCGGCAGGCCUAAUACAUGCAAGUCGAGGGGUAGAAGAGGCUUGCCUCUUUGAGACCGGCGCACGGGUGCGUAACGCGUAUGCAACCUACCUUCAUCUGGGGGAUAGCCCGGAGAAAUCCGGAUUAAUACCGCAUAAAAUCACAGGAUGGCAUUAUCCAAUGAUCAAACAUUUAUGGGAUGGAGAUGGGCAUGCGUGUCAUUAGCUAGUUGGCGGGGUAACGGCCCACCAAGGCGACGAUGACUAGGGGAUCUGAGAGGAUGGCCCCCCACACUGGUACUGAGACACGGACCAGACUCCUACGGGAGGCAGCAGUAAGGAAUAUUGGUCAAUGGAGGCAACUCUGAACCAGCCACGCCGCGUGCAGGAAGACUGCCCUAUGGGUUGUAAACUGCUUUUAUUCGGGAAUAAACCUUAUUACGUGUAAUAAGCUGAAUGUACCGAAGGAAUAAGGAUCGGCUAACUCCGUGCCAGCAGCCGCCGUAA
rnacentral:rRNA from 1 species